AAAGAGAUAUUCGCCUUUGACUUCUUCUCCGCCUACUGACUGCUACUCGGCUAGAUGCUCCUAUUUCUUAUUCGUAGAUCGUAGAUUAAGAUGUUAUUAGGUAAGGAAAGUCAGUCCUUUCAUUCCUUCCUGAGAAUAGAUCCCCAAUAGCUCGCAGAUGAGGAAUUCUUCCGCUACGACCCUUAGGCGAGCUAAUCAGUCUUGCUUUGCCAAAAAAUCCCUCC
rnacentral:lncRNA from 1 species